rnacentral:misc_RNA from 1 species
GGCUUCCUCGACGGCACCUCCAGCGUCUACCUGGAAGAGCUCCAGCGCGCCUGGGAAGCCGACCCCUCCAGCGUCGACGAGUCAUGGGACAACUUCUUCCGCAACUUCGUCGGUCAAGCCGAGACCUCCCCCGGCAUCUCCGGUCAAACAAUCCAGGAAUCCAUGCGCCUCCUCCUCCUCGUCCGCGCCUACCAGGUUAGCGGCCAUAUGAAGGCCAAACUCGACCCCCUCGGCCUCGAGCAGCGCGAGAUCCCCGUCGAUCUCGACCCCGCCCUCUACGGAUUCACCGAAGCCGAUCUAGACCGCGAGUUCUUCAUCGGCGUCUGGCGGAUGUCCGGCUUCCUCUCCGAGAAUCGCCCGAUCCAAACCCUCCGGUCCAUCAUCAACCGCCUCGAACAAGCCUAUUGCGGCUCCAUCGGCUUCGAGUACAUGCACAUCGCUGAUCGUGACAAGUGCAAUUGGCUGAGGGAGAAGAUCGAGACCGUCAAGCCGCACGAGUACACCCAAGACCGACAAAUGGUUAUACUGGAUCGUCUCGCGUGGAGUACGCUCUUCGAGCAGUUUCUCCACACGAAAUGGCCGUCGGCAAAGAGAUUCGGGCUUGAAGGCGCUGAGGUUAUAAUUCCCGGCAUGAAGGAGAUGAUCGACCGGUUGGCGGAUGAUGGGGUGGAGAGCAUUGUGAUUGGGACGGCACACCGGGGGAGGCUGAAUGUGUUGGGGAAUGUUGUUCGGAAGCCGUUGCCGCAGAUAUUCAGUGAGUUUAGUGGGGGUACGAAGCCGGCGAAUGAGGUUGGGUAUACUGGGAGUGGUGAUGUGAAGUAUCAUCUAGGGACGUCGUACGAUAGACCGACGAGAGGUGGGAAGGCUAUCCAUCUAUCUGUGGUUGCUAACCCGAGCCAUCUCGAAGCUGUUGAUCCGGUGGUGGUUGGGAAGACUCGAGCGAAGCAAUACUAUUCUAAAGACUCCCAGAGGACCAGAAAUAUGGGGUUGUUAGUCCAUGGAGAUGGAAGCUUUGCAGGCCAGGGUGUGGUUUAUGAGACUUUGCAUCUGAGUGGCCUCCCCAACUACACGACCGGGGGGACGGUUCACGUUGUGAUCAACAAUCAGCUUGCCUUCACAACGGAUGCGAGGGCUGGAAGGUCUUCACAGUAUUGUACUG